ensembl:lncRNA
GGAGAAUAUUUCUUUCUUUUGAAAGCCUGCUUGAGAAAAGAAGCCAAAACUCAGGAAUGGUUUUGGUAGUGGUAGGUCAAGCAGGUGAAACCACAGUGCAGUGAGAGUUGAACCAGAUUAUAAACCAGGUGAAUUUUUGAAGAUUUUGGAAGUCUUAUCGUACAUAACCAUAAACAUGAAAUCUUUGAGCUCUAUCUUCCUCCCAUACCAAUAGCUGUCAUUCCAGCAUUUGACAGACAAUUGCUUUUAAGUGACAGAGCUGAUGUUGGCAUGGUUUUCAUCUCUUCAGCAAGAUCAAAAACUUUGGUGGUGAGAACUGGACAGUAUGAACAUCUGCUGGCAAUAACACAUACACACAGUGCCAAAAUGUGGGCUGUGAGGACUUCAGGGAGUCAAACAAACAUCCUGCA